AAUUUACUUGAUCUAAGAGUCUCACACUUUUAGCAGCUAAACUUAAGUGUAGCAUAACUUAGGGUCAAGAUUCUCUUAGGGGUGAUAUGCCAAUCAAGUUAAAAGAUAUCUGGGUGUAGGGGAAAUAUAUUUAGUAUAUAUAGUACAUAGCAUAAACUAUAAGGUUUAUGCCACACAAUAUUAUCAAUUAAUUAUAUUAGAAUUAUUUAAUAAUUAAUAAUUAAUCAGUCCACUCUUAUAGAACUUAGUUUUAUGCGUAUUUGAAUUAAUACCCUAAGCUUUAGUGAAAUUUUUCACUUAAUCUAUAAUGUAAAUAUUAGUAAGUAUUUUAAAUCUUUAUGAAGGAACUCGGCAAACCUAUUUCUCUUGUCUGUUUACCAAAAACAUAGCUUAAAGAGUGCGUAACACAGAUUUUAAGUAACCCCUGCCCGGUGAGUUAUAGAAACUUUAACGGCCGCAGUACCUUGACUGUGCAAAGGUAGCAUAAUAAUUUGUCCUCUAAUUAAGGUCUGGAAUGAAGGGGGACACAGGGGAGAGCUGUCUCCAAUAAGGUUAAUUUAACUUUCUUAUCAGGUGAAAAUUCCUGAGCCUCCGAUGAAAGACGAGAAGACCCUUAGAGUUUUUAUUAUAACUUGAUAUAUUAAGAUUCUUGUUCUGUUUUUGUUGGGGCGACAGGGUUACAAUAGAUAACUUACCCUACCAUAUUUUUAUAUGGCGAUCAUUAUACUUUUAAUUAAGCUACCUAAGGGAUAACAGCGUAAUCUUUUUUUUUGGUUUGCGACCUCGAUGUUGGACUAGGGGCCUACUGGUUAGUUACCAUUAUGGGGCGGUUCUGUUCGAACUUUUCCUACCCUACGUGAUCUGAGUUCAGACCGG
rnacentral:rRNA from 1 species